UACGUAGGGGGCAAGCGUUGUCCGGAAUCAUUGGGCGUAAAGCGCGUGUAGGCGGUUCGAUAAGUCUGCUGUGAAAGUCCAGGGCUCAACCCUGGGAUGCCGGUGGAUACUGUCGAGCUAGAGUACGGAAGAGGCGAGUGGAACUCCCGGUGUAGCGGUGGAAUGCGUAGAGAUCGGGAAGAACACCCGUGGCGAAGGCGACAUGCUGGGUUGCACCUGACGCUGAGUUGCGAAAGUGUGGGGAGCAAACGGG
rnacentral:rRNA from 1 species